ACGAACGCUGGCGGCGUGCCUAAUACAUGCAAGUAGAACGCUGAAGAGAGGAGCUUGCUCUUCUUGGAUGAGUUGCGAACGGGUGAGUAACGCGUAGGUAACCUGCCUUGUAGCGGGGGAUAACUAUUGGAAACGAUAGCUAAUACCGCAUAACAAUGGAUGACACAUGUCAUUUAUUUGAAAGGGGCAAUUGUUCCACUACAAGAUGGACCUGCGUUGUAUUAGCUAGUAGGUGAGGUAAUGGCUCACCUAGGCGACGAUACAUAGCCGACCUGAGAGGGUGAUCGGCCACACUGGGACUGAGACACGGCCCAGACUCCUACGGGAGGCAGCAGUAGGGAAUCUUCGGCAAUGGGGGCAACCCUGACCGAGCAACGCCGCGUGAGUGAAGAAGGUUUUCGGAUCGUAAAGCUCUGUUGUAAGUCAAGAACGGGUGUGAGAGUGGAAAGUUCACACUGUGACGGUAGCUUACCAGAAAGGGACGGCUAACUACGUGCCAGCAGCCGCGGUAAUACGUAGGUCCCGAGCGUUGUCCGGAUUUAUUGGGCGUAAAGCGAGCGCAGGCGGUUUGAUAAGUCUGAAGUUAAAGGCUGUGGCUCAACCAUAGUUCGCUUUGGAAACUGUCAAACUUGAGUGCAGAAGGGGAGAGUGGAAUUCCAUGUGUAGCGGUGAAAUGCGUAGAUAUAUGGAGGAACACCGGUGGCGAAAGCGGCUCUCUGGUCUGUAACUGACGCUGAGGCUCGAAAGCGUGGGGAGCGAACAGGAUUAGAUACCCUGGUAGUCCACGCCGUAAACGAUGAGUGCUAGGUGUUGGAUCCUUUCCGGGAUUCAGUGCCGCAGCUAACGCAUUAAGCACUCCGCCUGGGGAGUACGACCGCAAGGUUGAAACUCAAAGGAAUUGACGGGGGCCCGCACAAGCGGUGGAGCAUGUGGUUUAAUUCGAAGCAACGCGAAGAACCUUACCAGGUCUUGACAUCCCGAUGCUAUUUCUAGAGAUAGAAAGUUACUUCGGUACAUCGGUGACAGGUGGUGCAUGGUUGUCGUCAGCUCGUGUCGUGAGAUGUUGGGUUAAGUCCCGCAACGAGCGCAACCCCUAUUGUUAGUUGCCAUCAUUCAGUUGGGCACUCUAGCGAGACUGCCGGUAAUAAACCGGAGGAAGGUGGGGAUGACGUCAAAUCAUCAUGCCCCUUAUGACCUGGGCUACACACGUGCUACAAUGGUUGGUACAACGAGUUGCGAGUCGGUGACGGCGAGCUAAUCUCUUAAAGCCAAUCUCAGUUCGGAUUGUAGGCUGCAACUCGCCUACAUGAAGUCGGAAUCGCUAGUAAUCGCGGAUCAGCACGCCGCGGUGAAUACGUUCCCGGGCCUUGUACGCACCGCCCGUCACACCACGAGAGUUUGUAACACCCGAAGUCGGUGAGGUAACCUUUUGGAGCCAGCCGCCUAAGGUGGGACAGAUGAUUGGGGUG
rnacentral:rRNA from 1 species